CGCUUCGCCCGCCGCGUGCUACGCCCCGCUGGCCACAUGGGCGGCGCUGCCUCAGGUCAGGCUCCCUGUCGUCACUUUAGGGGCGCAUGGGACAGAGGGGCUUGUGGGGUGUUCAGAAUCUGUUUCCACAGGCGUCUCACCCUUCUGCACACCCUGGGGGUCCAGCUCCCUGUUCUUGAUUAUCUCAAAAUGGCCGUAAAGUGGACAGCUGCCCGGAAGUACCCCAUGUCCUCUGAGAUAAGGUCAGGCUGGCUUACGCUGCCUGAGCUGGGGUUCCCCUCCUGCAACGCAACUGUAGGUCAGGGUAGGUGUCCCCCAAAGGCCCGUUCAUCAGCCAGUGUGGAGCCUGUAGAGGCGGGGCCUGGCAGGAGGAAGUGAAGUCAUGGGGGCGAGGCCUUGAAGGGCUACUGAGGCCCCACUUUGCUCCCUUCUGCUUCCCGUCUGCCAGGAGGUGAGCAGCUCUCUGGGCUGUGGCUUCCCAUCAUGGUGCUCUGUCUUCCCACAGGUUCAAGGCCGUGGGACCAAGAUAGCAAGCACUGAACCUCUGGAACUGUGAGCUACAGGAAACCUUCCCUGUGUUUGACCCAGGCCAAACUGCUCUACCCCUGCUGCACCCCAGUUCCCCCUUAUAUGUUUAAGUCCCUUUCUCUCAGUGUUUGAAGCAUUAACAGGAAGCUAACACAGCGGCUCACUCUGCUCAGGUGACCCUCCUCAUACUGCCUGGGGGUGAUAUGUGAUGUGAUAAAAAACUAUGGUGAAUUUUAAAUUUAAAAAAAAUUAUCAGUAAAAGACACAUUGCCAUGAAUUCCCCUAACCCCCCCACACACACCCGCGCCCACCACACUUAUCCCAUUGACACUUCCUGCAGCGGCUCUGAAGUCCUCUCUCCUGAGCGUCUUGAGUGGUGCUGUCCUGGCUCCCUCCAUGUCCUGAGUGGGUUCAAGCUGCUGACCUCUCCUGGUGAUUUUGAUUGCACGGUGCCGGAUCCGGUGAAUAAGGCGGAUGAGGACACAGCCUCGUGUUUUUACGAG
rnacentral:lncRNA from 1 species